rnacentral:rRNA from 1 species
AUUGAACGCUGGCGGCAGGCCUAACACAUGCAAGUCGAGCGGAUGAAGGGAGCUUGCUCCUGGAUUCAGCGGCGGACGGGUGAGUAAUGCCUAGGAAUCUGCCUGGUAGUGGGGGAUAACGUCCGGAAACGGGCGCUAAUACCGCAUACGUCCUGAGGGAGAAAGUGGGGGAUCUUCGGACCUCACGCUAUCAGAUGAGCCUAGGUCGGAUUAGCUAGUUGGUGGGGUAAAGGCCUACCAAGGCGACGAUCCGUAACUGGUCUGAGAGGAUGAUCAGGCACACUGGAACUGAGACACGGUCCAGACUCCUACGGGAGGCUGCAGUGGGGAAUAUUGGACAAUGGGCGAAAGCCUGAUCCAGCCAUGCCGCGUGUGUGAAGAAGGUCUUCGGAUUGUAAAGCACUUUAAGUUGGGAGGAAGGGCAGUAAGUUAAUACCUUGCUGUUUUGACGUUACCAACAGAAUAAGCACCGGCUAACUUCGUG